AAUGUUACUACUCAGACUACAACAAAGCAAAAAUUUCAUGAUGAGGAAUACCCAUACUUCCAUUUCAAUGGGGCCAAAACGGUUACCAUUAAACAAUUUAUUUUCCAGUUUGGAUACAUUUCCCAUCAUUUCGAUACUUUCUAUCCCAACACCCAAUCCCCUGUUCCAGAGUCUGAACCACCCACUGCUUCGAUUCCCUCUUCUUCCCGGAAAAGAAGACGACCUACAUUAUGAGAGGAGUAUGAUGCUGACUUUGAACUCAUCUCCAGUAUUCAGAAAGCACUCGCCUCCUCUAACAAGGAUGUUCUCACUAAGCACAUUAUUGAAUCGAUUGGAAUGAGGGAUGAUGGUACAGAACCGCCACUGUACAGGGUUACAACUGCAAAUCUAGAAAAUACUUUUGUGGGAGAAACUCUUGGAAGCUGGGCAAAUCAUGAAACCACCAACCAGGUGUUCAUGCUCUUCUCUAUGCUCACAUUGGUGGCGCUUUUUCUGGAAGACAAAUUUCCAUCCAAAAUUUAAGACUUUUUCUAGCGAGUUGCCCUCAAUGGACUUCCAACAAGGGAUAAGCUAGGAAAAUAGAUACCUUUGGACGAUCGUUGUGUCCUUUGUAACUUGAAUCAAGAAAAAUGUGGCAUUUUUUCCUAUCAUGCGAAUUUUCUAAACGCAUCUGGGCAGUAUGCCCAUUAGGACUAAAUACCAUGGUUCUCCAAGCUCCUACUUUUUAGGAUAUUAUCAUGUAUUUCUAUAAGUUUGACAACUGGACCAGACAUGAUCGGGAACACUUAUUUUAGAGCUUUAUUAUAGUUUGCUAUUUUAUUUGGAA